UUAGGGGCAAAAAAAAAAAAGAAAAAGAAAACCAGGGUAGUUGAUUAAAAAAGGAUAGCCCACAGUAUAAUAAGUCACACCCAGCAAAUUAUAGAGAUCGAAGUUAUUGGUGCUUUUCAUUCUAGGGCAUCUGGUGUGUGCGGCUGCAUUUGACCUUUUAGAAGCUAUUGACAUCAUUUGGGAACUGCCUGUAAACCUGCCUAAAUCAGUUAAACAGAAGGAAUCUUAGCAUUGUGGAACUGACCAGUUGAUUAAUUUAAAUCCAAACACACAGUCCUGCCUGGUUGCCCUUUGCAAGACCCUUGCACAAAAGGAUUUCAUUCAGGAGCGUUAUAACCCACAUCCUGCCAUCAGACCCUUUCAGCUCUGUUGGUCUUCUUAGGCUGCAGCGGCGUCUUUAACCCCUCUUAGGCUCCCUUUUAUUUCAUGAAAACAAUAUCUGUGCUGUGCUUCAUACAAAUGCUCUACAUUUCCUUCAAAGUUCUUUAUUUGUUCUAGGGAAAAGGUAAUUUAAAGUUCCACUAAUUGAGAGACUAAAAUGGGAAUUUAUUUUAAACUGGCUUCUUUAGAAGAAGUCUAUUAGAACUUAAUCCAGUGCUUCCUCCGGGAAUUAUAAUCAAAAUUAGAAUCAUGAAAUGUUGAAAUAACUUUUUGGUAUUAAAGUAAGCCAUCAUCCAUAAUUCCUUUGACUUUUAGAUUCAAAACAUUGAAGGCUUUAUAAUCUGUGUUUGGCUUUGGGAAAACAGUAAUUGACUCUUGAGUGAGUUCAGAGGUAGUAUAAAGAUCUAGUCUGGGAUCUUUAAAUGGAAGCAAAAUUAAAAUUAUUUCUGGGCAAAACUUUGAAUAAUUUCAGCCUGUUACAUGAACUGAGAAAAGUAUCCCCAUAUUGGGCACUCCGCUGGGCUUGGUUGCCAAAGAGGGCCAAUAUUUGUGUGGGGGAGAAAAAUGAAAAACCUGCUACGGAAUGCUUCAUAGCACAUAGGAUGUUAGCCUGGGAAAGACCAGCACCCUCAUUUUAAACACCAAAAAAACUAAGCCCCCUCUCCCACCCCCCACUUGGUUAUUCAAGCUCUUAAACUGGCGUUGGUUCGUUUCUGCUUCCUCAUGACCAAAUUACAGCGCUUUUCUGGAAUACAAAGGAAGCCUUUCAGAGUUGGUGGUAUCAUCUGAUUCUCUGUGGUUUUGUUCAUUGUCAUUAAUUUUAAUAACCGCUUUUUAUCGAGUAUUUGUGAUGUCUAUGCCCUAUCUCUGUCUUCAUAACUACAGUGUGAAGUGGUACUAUUGUUCUUCCCCUUUUGAAAAUGAGGAACUGAUGUUUAGCACAGUCUGGGUCUUGCCCAGAGUAUGAGCUACUCUGAGGAGGGGUGAAGCAGGAGCAGAAGCCUCUCUGGUGGCAGCCAGAUACCAAGAAGAGAACAAGACGUGUUUCUCCCAAGCCUCAUAGGUUGACUUGAGAAUAUUAUGGUCAUAUGAAUGACUGUGCCAUGGGUCAUUGGUAGAAGAGAAAAAUUAAGGCCAUUUUGGCCCGAAUUCCUCAGAAACAGUGGAUUCACGGAAAGGGAAGAUGAUGGCACCCCCUUUCUGGCUGCCAUGAGAAGCCGUGGGUGUCCAGGUGAGGGACAUGCUGGGGAAUCAGGGAACCUGGAGACUGUGUGACACAGGAGAACUCAUGCUGUCCUUUUUGAGCUUCUGCUUUUUAUUUUCAUUUCUAAAAGUGAAAUUCAAAUUUCUCCUUUACUAGCUUGUUUCAAAAAUUAAGUGAUAUAACUUAAUCAUAAACACUCUGGAAAAUGAAUAAAAUUGGGACAUAAUUUUUUUUUGUUCAUUUAUCCCGGAAGUAUUUAUUGACUGAAUGCCAAAUGCAAGUUACAGUGCUGUAAAGAGAAUAAGAAGCAAAUGUAGACGUUGUCUCUACCUUUCGGAAGAUUCCAUGGGGCAGGAAAAUAAGAUACAUGCUAAUAAUUUGGGCCACCGAAUGUUUUAAAUGUAGUUAGUAAGGUAGAGGACACUGGUAUUUCUGAGGAAGAACCCAUGCCAGGUGGAAGGGGUUUGUGGAGGAUUGGUAGGGUUUAGGUUUGAUAGGAGAGACGGGAGGAGUGGUGUGUGGGGGGAGGAUUAGGGAGGUAGGUCGUGGGAUUUAAGGAGGAGGAGGGAGAGGAGAGGGUAAGAGCAGAGGCCUGCAGGAGGGAAAGGACAAGGGCAUAUUAGUGUAUCAGAUUGUCUUAUUGGCUCCAUGUAGCUCAAGGAGGUAAGCAAAAAAAAAAAAUUUUGUUUUUUGUUUUGUUUUGUUUUUUGGCAAAAACGGGUUUAUUUCGGAGCUGUGAAAUCUGCACUUGAUUCAGUGGCUCACAGGGGAGCCUUUUAGGAUUUUGGAUUUUUUUUGUGGUAUCAUAGUAAGAAAAUGUUUUGUGAUGACUCAUGAAGGACAAAGUGAUGCAUAGAAUGAUUAAAAGAGUGAGCAAGACGCUGCAGUCAGGGAGACCAGAGACCACAGCAUUUUGGGAUGACCGAUGCAGAAGACUGAGCUAGGGGAGCAUCUCUGGAACAAAAAGGGGGUAGAUCACUGAAAUUUGGCCACUUAUUGGAUUUGGAAGUUCUUGUGAUACUUUUUUUUUUUUUAAUUAAAUCAGUGUGAAUUUGUUUUAAUGAACAAAUUUAAACCCAAAUGCUAAUAAAAUCCCAUAUGCCACUGCCAUUUUUCAUUGUUUUUUGUACUUAUAUUAUGCUUAACUGGAAUUAGGAAAAGUGUUGGGUUAAGACCAGAGGAGGCAAGAAUGUUGCUCAUCUGGGCUAGGGAGAAAUUUAAUGUAAAUUAUGAGGCAAAGCUGGUUUAGAGGAUUAAGAACCUUUCUCCUUAUCAUCAGAAAAGUGACUUAGGGGGAGGAGGUAGGCUGGCACAGUAGCCGACUAUCAAGGCUCUAGAAAUCCUGGCCAAAUAGCCCCUCAGAAGUGGCACUUUGACUCCCGUUUGCUUCCGAAUCAGUACUUGCCAACACGAAUUUACUUUAGUUUAAGAAACAAGGUAAGCCCAGGGCCUUGUUGAACCCUAAAAACUUCAAGGAUUCAGGUGGUUGUGUGGGGAUUAGAUGAGAUUGAUAAUCCUUUGUAGUCAAGGGGUGACUUCUCUGGGAAAGAUGCUGUUUUCCUUAUGAAAGAGUAUUUUUCAUCUAACUUCGGUUGUCUUUCAGUUUGAGAAAUUAGACUAUUGUUUGGAUAUCUGAAGCCUUGGGAUCUACUGGGGAAUAAGUGGAUCUUCUGAAGUUUGAGAGUGUACAGUUAUCUAGCAAGACUACAUCAGAGCUUGGUGGAGUGGUGUUAUUGGUUGGUUUCUUCCCCCUCCUCAAGGUGCUGUGCUGCUUACCUCGCAGGCCCUCUCUGUGCCAUCCUUAGGGAUCAAAGGAAGAGGUGGCAAUUUUUGUACAAAGUCAUCAAUUUAGGAGGGAGUUUAUGGUCUUCUCUAAGAGGUGGUGAGACUGCACUGAUCACAAAAUGUAUUGGAGUGGCAAGAGGAAAUAGAAUACUGAUGAGCAUGUGAUUUAUAGAUUCAGGGGAGAACAAAACUCCGUGUAGCUCAGAAUUAGGGAGUGGAGGCUGGGGAGCUCAGGCUUCUUUUCUCUAAAGCAGGGAUCUUUAACAGGGCUCAUAAUCUGGCCACCUGGGGCCAUUUGUCUCGUGAUACUUGGCUCCUGUUCCUGUUGGUGGUCUUCCAUAUUCCGCUUAGCCCUUUGGUCAGAGAUCUCUUGGUUUGGCCUUAUUUUUUGAAUAGGCUCUUUGUUCAACUGUACCUUUACCAAAAAAAAAAAAAAAA
rnacentral:lncRNA from 1 species